GGGGGAGAUGAGCCGCAACACAUGCUCCCAGUUAUGGCUGAAAGUGGAAACACUCCACCCAGAUUAGGAGUGCCUUCACAGCUGAUACAAACUGACCUAUUUAUGUUGUAAGAAAUUAAAUAAAGAGGGGAGAGAAGGAAGAGGGAGUUUGGGUUUUUUUUUUUGCAGUACUUUGUGUGGCUGAAAAGGGCUGGUGAGUUUGUUUUGUGCAGUCUAAAAAAGGCCUGGCCAUUGGGAUGGCAGGGAAAGACCUGCCUUGAAAUGUUUUGUUACUGCAUUCAAAGGUCAAUUGCUUCAAGUAAAGCUAAAGCAGUUAUAGAUUAAAAUUCUGGAUUGAAGUUUCAAAGGUGCUUUUAAGCAUUUCUAAAGAAACUCUGGAUGAGGAAUAAAGUAAGCUCCUAUUGAAUGUGUCUUGAAGUAUUAUAGUUCAACUCCUGGUCAGAUGCCCUGAUAAUAGCCUAUUCAUUCCUAAUUCUCUGAACAUUGUCAAUCUUAUCCUUAAUGCAAAGGACUCUGUGCUGCCCUCAUAAGUACCAUCCAGGGUGCUUUAUCAAAUAAAACAAUAGUCUAUUUUCUAUAACCAGUUAUAUCUGCCACUAUGGCAGCUAAGUACAUCUGGCUGCUACAAUAAGAAAAUGUAAAAUCACAAACACUUUACUCUAGCCAGCAAGCUGUUUCCUGAUGAUGCUUUCAAAAUGGAAAUUUACUUCUGCUUCAUUGUACAAAUAUCCAUAUGCUGUGUUUUUUCAGUAUUUAUGUCAGCUGAUGCAACCCUUCACAGCUUUUUGUUGUGCUGCUUAAUGCAACUAGUUUUAAAGAUUUGUCAUCUUGAUUGUAGCCAGUCUGAAAGAUAAUUACCUUAAUAGCAGCUCUACACAAAACAAGCUAGGAAGGAUCUUGCACAGUAUGAAUGUGCCUUGCUUUUGGAUUAUUUGAACAGAAUAUGAGAACAAUUGCAAGAAUCCCUUGGAUUUAUUAAUUAUGUGAUCAAAAGAUUUUCGAAAUGAGGAAAUAAUUGCCUCUUGCUUCUCCUGCCUAUAACAAUAAAAGUCUACAGAUGCUGUGGAAAAAGCA
rnacentral:lncRNA from 1 species